rnacentral:rRNA from 1 species
GAUGAACGCUGGCGGCGUGCCUAAUACAUGCAAGUCGAGCGAACAGACGAGGAGCUUGCUCCUCUGACGUUAGCGGCGGACGGGUGAGUAACACGUGGAUAACCUACCUAUAAGACUGGGAUAACUUCGGGAAACCGGAGCUAAUACCGGAUAAUAUAUUGCACCGCAUGGUUCAAUAGUGAAAGACGGUUUUGCUGUUACUUAUAGCUGGCUCCGCGCCGGAUUAUCUAGUUGGUAAGGUAACGGCUUACCAAGGCGACGAUGCGUAGCCGACCUGAGAGGGUGAUCGGCCACACUGGAACUGAGACACGGUCCAGACUCCUACGGGAGGCAGCAGUAGGGAAUCUUCCGCAAUGGGCGAAAGCCUGACGGAGCAACGCCGCGUGAGUGAUGAAGGUCUUCGGAUCGUAAAACUCUGUUAUUAGGGAAGAACAAAUGUGUAAGUAACUAUGCACGUCUUGACGGUACCUAAUCAGAAAGCCACGGCUAACUACGUG